rnacentral:lncRNA from 1 species
GUUCGGACUCCUUGGUGUUUUUCCAUACAAUACAAUGUAAAAUAUUUUGCCCCAUAACAGCCAUUUAUUUUUUCAUAUAAGACUUAAUAGCCCAUGAAAGGUCAUUUACCAAAAUUUUAGUAGAUUCUUGAUUUUCUUUCUUUUGUUUUGAGACCCAAAUUAUAUCAAUGCAAAUAUAAGGUAAAAGUCAGAGUCAGCCUUUUCCCGCCAUAUUUUAAAUCCAAAAUAUCUCGAAAAGAAGGUCCAUGACCUAUCAAUAUUUUUAGCUUAUCUUUAUCCUUAAUUGAUGCUCUACCAGUUUAUAGUAUCAAUUCUAAAUUCUUGAUUUAUUAAUUUUCACCUAACCUCAC